AGGAUAAACGCUGGCGGCGUGCCUAACACAUGCAAGUCGAACGCGCUUUCGUCUUCGGAGGAGAGCGAGUGGCGGACGGGUGAGUAACACAUGGGUACCUACCCCACAGUGAGGGAUACCGGCGAGAAAUCGCCGACAAUACCGCAUAGGCUUCUCUUUGGAGACGAGGAGAAGCAAAGUUGCGCAAGCGACGCUGAGGGAUGGGCCUGUGGCCGAUUAGCUAGUUGGGGGGUAACGGCCUCCCAAGGCUUCGAUCGGUAGCUGGUCUGAGAGGACGAUCACCCAGACUGGGACUGAGACACGGCCCAGACUCCUACGGGAGGCAGCAGUCGGGAAUUUUGCGCAAUGGACGAAAGUCUGACGCAGCAACGCCGCGUGAGGGAUGAAGGCCUUCGGGUUGUAAACCUCUUUCUCAGGGAGAUAGUGACGGUACCUGAGGAAUAAGUCACGGCUAACUACGUGCCAGCAGCCGC
rnacentral:rRNA from 1 species